rnacentral:rRNA from 1 species
AGUGAACGCUGGCGGUAGGCCUAACACAUGCAAGUCGAACGGCAGCACAGUAGGAGCUUGCUCUUACGGGUGGCGAGUGGCGGACGGGUGAGGAAUACAUCGGAAUCUACUUUUUCGUGGGGGAUAACGUAGGGAAACUUACGCUAAUACCGCAUACGACCUACGGGUGAAAGCAGGGGAUCUUCGGACCUUGCGCGAUUGAAUGAGCCGAUGUCGGAUUAGCUAGUUGGCGGGGUAAAGGCCCACCAAGGCGACGAUCCGUAGCUGGUCUGAGAGGAUGAUCAGCCACACUGGAACUGAGACACGGUCCAGACUCCUACGGGAGGCAGCAGUGGGGAAUAUUGGACAAUGGGCGCAAGCCUGAUCCAGCCAUACCACGUGGGUGAAGAAGGCCUUCGGGUUGUAAAGCCCUUUUGUUGGGAAAGAAAAGCAGCAGGUUAAUACCCCGCUGUUCUGACGGUACCCAAAGAAUAAGCACCGGCUAACUUCGUG